rnacentral:misc_RNA from 1 species
UCAAAAUUGUAGACUUAGGAAAGAUGAAAAGAGAUGUAAAGCCGCCAUGUUUUCAUGUAAACUGACAAAAUACAAAACUUUUACGGAGUAGUUGCACCAAUGGAUCGUAAAGUAGCUUUAACAAGCAAGAACUCUAAUGUAGACAGGCAAGGUUGCGAGAAAAAGAUUAAAAGUGGCCCCAACGUGAAUGUAGUGGAAAGUAAGACAGCGCGCAAAAAUCACUUGAAGAUCACAACAUUUAUCAUGGAGGCUGGCCAAAGAUUAAAGCUCCCGCCAGGCACUUGUGCUUCUGCUUGUGUUCUAUAUCAUCGUCUGUACAAGCAGUAUUUUCAGAGUGAAUAUGAUCCAAAUCUUGUUGCCACUGCUGCUUUAUAUUUAGCAUCCAAAACUGAGGAAUCUCCUUGCAAGUUACGAGAUGUGAUAAAUGUAUCUUACAGGUUAUUACACAGAGAUAAACCACCAUUGGAGGUAGGGUCUCUGUAUUGGGAACUUCACGACAGUGUGGCUAAUUGUGAGCUGAUGAUUUUACGAGCUCUUCAGUUUCAAGUCAGUUUUGACAGUCCACACAAGGGUUAAAGUUUGGUGGCCCUCUUGUUAAGAAUGAGGCCCCAAGAAGGGCUGGGUUAUCCUAAAAGUAUCUUCUCCAUUACCUGAACUCACUUGAAGACUGGCUAGACAAGGAAUGUACUAUCACCAGUUCUUUAAGUCAACUUAGCUGGAGUAUUUUGCAAGAUAGUUUCCACACUACAUUAUGUUUGGAAUACAGUCCAGCUGUU